UCUUCCUGUCACUGGAAUGGUGUCUGUGU
rnacentral:piRNA from 1 species